AAUUAAUGAGCUUGAUAUAAGCAUAUGUUUUGAAAACAUAAUAUAGAAUAUUAAUAAUUUUCUAUUAAUUU
rnacentral:tRNA from 2 species